rnacentral:rRNA from 1 species
AGGAAUAUUGGUCAAUGGGCGCAAGCCUGAACCAGCCAAGUAGCGUGAGGGAAGACUGCCCUAUGGGUUGUAAACCUCUUUUGUGCGGGGAUAAAGUGUGGGACGUGUCCCAUAUUGCAGGUACCGCACGAAUAAGGACCGGCUAAUUCCGUGCCAGCAGCCGCGGUAAUACGGAAGGUCCGGGCGUUAUCCGGAUUUAUUGGGUUUAAAGGGAGCGCAGGCCGUCCUUUAAGCGUGCUGUGAAAUGCCGCGGCUCAACCGUGGCACUGCAGCGCGAACUGGAGGACUUGAGUACGCACGAGGUAGGCGGAAUUCGUGGUGUAGCGGUGAAAUGCUUAGAUAUCAUGAAGAACUCCGAUUGCGAAGGCAGCUUACCGGAGCGCAACUGACGCUGAGGCUCGAAAGCGCGGGUAUCGAACAGGAUUAGAUACCCUGGUAGUCCGCGCGGUAAACGAUGGAUGCCCGCCGUUGGGUUUUAGAAUUCAGCGGCCAAGCGAAAGCGUUAAGCAUCCCACCUGGGGAGUACGCCGGCAACGGUGAAACUCAAAGGAAUUGACGGGGGCCCGCACAAGCGGAGGAACAUGUGGUUUAAUUCGAUGAUACGCGAGGAACCUUACCCGGGCUUGAAUUGCAGGAGAACGAUCCAGAGAUGGUGAGGCCCUUCGGGGCUCCUGUGAAGGUGCUGCAUGGUUGUCGUCAGCUCGUGCCGUGAGGUGUCGGCUCAAGUGCCAUAACGAGCGCAACCCCUGUCCAUAGUUGCCAUCAGGUCGUGCUGGGCACUCUGUGGAGACUGCCGCCGUAAGGUGUGAGGAAGGUGGGGAUGACGUCAAAUCAGCACGGCCCUUACGUCCGGGGCUACACACGUGUUACAAUGGGGCAUACAGCGAGUUGGAUGUGCGCAAGUACGUCCGGAUCAAUAAAGUGCCUCUCAGUUCGGACUGGGGUCUGCAACCCGACCCCACGAAGCUGGAUUCGCUAGUAAUCGCGCAUCAGCCAUGGCGCGGUGAAUACGUUCCCG